AUGUCGAAUGAUGAAUAUACUCAGACACUGAGACACAUUCUAAAACGUGUUUACGCAGGUGAUGGGGCUGCCGCCAACCUGGGCCCGCUCAAGAAUGGUGACUCUACAGGAGGGGGAUGGAGUCGCGGAAGCUUCCGUGCUAUUGGGAGCGACAGUUCCACAAUGAGCCGGUCUUUCGUCACCUCUGAGUUGGAGGAUGUCCAAGGCCGGAAGUGUUCGUCACCACUAAGCCGUGGCUGA
rnacentral:rRNA from 1 species